UACGGGGGGGGCAAGCGUUGUUCGGAAUUACUGGGCGUAAAGGGCUCGUAGGUGGCCAACUAAGUCAGACGUGAAAUCCCUCGGCUUAACCGGGGAACUGCGUCUGAUACUGGAUGGCUUGAGUUUGGGAGAGGGACGCGGAAUUCCAGGUGUAGCGGUGAAAUGCGCAGAUAUCAGGAGGAACACCGGUGGCGAAGGCGGGUCUCUGGACAGUUCCUGACGCUGAGGCACGAAGGCCAGGGGAGCAAACGGG
rnacentral:rRNA from 1 species